GACGAACGCUGGCGGUGUGCUUAACACAUGCAAGUCGAACGGUAAGGCCCUUUCGGGGGUACACGAGUGGCGAACGGGUGAGUAACACGUGAGUAACCUGCCCUCAUCUCUGGGAUAACAGUCGGAAACGGUUGCUAAUACUGGAUAUGAGCUUGCAAGGCAUCUUGUGGGUUGGAAAGAUUUUUUUGGUUGGGGAUGGACUCGCGGCCUAUCAGCUUGUUGGUGAGGUAGUGGCUCACCAAGGCUUCGACGGGUAGCCGGCCUGAGAGGGCGACCGGCCACAUUGGGACUGAGAUACGGCCCAAACUCCUACGGGAGGCAGCAGUGGGGAAUAUUGCACAAUGGACGGAAGUCUGAUGCAGCAACGCCGCGUGCGGGAGGACGGCCUUCGGGUUGUAAACCGCUCUCAAUUGUGACGAAGCUUUUUGUGACGGUAGCAGUAGAAGAAGCACCGGCUAACUACGUG
rnacentral:rRNA from 1 species